rnacentral:snoRNA from 16 species
GCGCGAUGAAGGUUUAACCAUCUUUCGGCUGAGUUCAUGAUGCCAGAAUUUUCUAUACUGAGCGCUU